AGGGUUUGAUCAUGGCUCAGAACGUACGCUGGCGGCACGCCUAACACAUGCAAGUCGAACGAAGUAGCAAUACUUAGUGGCAGACGGGUGAGUAACAUGUGGGUAUCUGCCCUUUGGCCUGGAAUAACACGAGGAAACUUGUGCUAAUACCAGAUAAGUCUUUACGGAGAAAGCUUUAUGCACCAUUGGAUGAGCCCGCACUUGAUUAGUUUGUUGGUGGGGUAAUGGCCUACCAAGACUUUGAUCAAUAGCUGAUUUGAGAGGAUGAUCAGCCACAUUGGGACUGAGACACGGCCCAAACUCCUACGGGAGGCAGCAGUGGGGAAUCUUGCACAAUGGAGGAAACUCUGAUGCAGCGAUGCCGCGUGAGUGAAGAAGGCCCUUGGGUUGUAAAGCUCUUUCGUCGGGGAAGAAAAUGACUGUACCCGAAUAAGAAGGUCCGGCUAACUUCGUGCCAGCAGCCGCGGUAAUACGAAGGGACCUAGCGUAGUUCGGAAUUACUGGGCUUAAAGAGUUCGUAGGUGGUUGAAAAAGUUGGUGGUGAAAUCCCAGAGCUUAACUCUGGAACUGCCAUCAAAACUUUUCAGCUAGAGUUUGAUAGAGGAAAGCAGAAUUUCUAGUGUAGAGGUGAAAUUCGUAGAUAUUAGAAAGAAUACCAAUUGCGAAGGCAGCUUUCUGGAUCAUUACUGACACUGAGGAACGAAAGCAUGGGUAGCGAAGAGGAUUAGAUACCCUCGUAGUCCAUGCCGUAAACGAUGUGUGUUAGACGUUGGAAAUUUAUUUUUCAGUGUCGCAGCGAAAGCGAUAAACACACCGCCUGGGGAGUACGACCGCAAGGUUAAAACUCAAAUGAAUUGACGGGGACCCGCACAAGUAGUGGAGCAUGUGGUUUAAUUCGAAGAUACGCGCAGAACCUUACCAACACUUGACAUGUUCGUCGCGACUUUAAGAGAUUAAAGUUUUCGGUUCGGCCGGACGAAACACAGGUGCUGCAUGGCUGUCGUCAGCUCGUGUCGUGAGAUGUUGGGUUAAGUCCCGCAACGAGCGCAACCCUCACUUUUAGUUGCCAUCAUUAAGUUGGGCACUCUGAAAGAACUGCCAGUGAUAAGCUGGAGGAAGGUGGGGAUGACGUCAAGUCCUCAUGGCCCUUACGUGUUGGGCUACACACGUGCUACAAUGGUAUUUACAAAAGGAAGCAAAACGGCGACGUUUAGCAAAUCCUAAAAAAAUACCUCAGUUCGGAUUGCACUCUGCAACUCGAGUGCAUGAAGCUGGAAUUACUAGUAAUCGUGGAUCAGCGUGCCACGGUGAAUGCGUUCCCGGGUCUUGUACACACCGCCCGUCACACCAUGGGAGUUGGUUCUACCUUAAGGCAAGGUUUAAAACCCUUGACCACGGUAUAGUCAGCGACUGGGGUGAAGUCAUAACAAGGUAGCCGUA
rnacentral:rRNA from 1 species